GAACUGAAGAGUUUGAUCCUGGCUCAGAUUGAACGCUGGCGGCAUGCUUUACACAUGCAAGUCGAACGGUAACAGGGAGCUUGCUCCGCUGACGAGUGGCGAACGGGUGAGUAAUAUAUCGGAACGUACCCAAGAGUGGGGGAUAACGUAGCGAAAGUUACGCUAAUACCGCAUACGAUCUAAGGAUGAAAGCAGGGGACCUUCGGGCCUUGUGCUCCUGGAGCGGCCGAUAUCUGAUUAGCUAGUUGGUGAGGUAAAGGCUCACCAAGGCGACGAUC
rnacentral:rRNA from 1 species